UCGUUCUGUGUCAGUUUGCAGCCUGGCUCGUGGUUUCCCCUGGUGCUGGGCAGUGGAGGCGAGUUGUGCUUCCUGCUGGGAGAGAGAAGGGCCUUGGGAAGCUGCUCCAUGAGCCACAGCUGUGCCGAGCCCGGGAGUCUGUCCAGCAGGAUGUCAAGUGCCACCGUGUCCCUGAGGUCACCCUUUCUGCUGUUGGGAGAGCACGAGGUGGAUGGAGAGGAUCCCCAGCCAUCUGCAGGCACAAGGGACUCGCACAACUGCGAUUUUUCUCCAGCUCUCUUAAGGUGGACUUUCAGGGUACCAUGGGUAAUGUGCCAGCUCUCCUGCUGGAGUUUUUGUCUUCUGCUCUAUUUGAACAUCAAGAGUAAAACUAAAGUCAGGGAAUAACUCCUGUCAGCAGCAAGGUCCUGACUGAAGUGGCAGCUGCAGUUGUUCCUGUGGUGUGGGCCAGUGGAACUCUAGGAGAGUGGAAGAGGGCAGAACCUGUAGGACGUGAAUGCAAGAACCUGCCAAGAAAAGCAAUGGCCAAGAUGAUUGAUGAGUGCAGGACCUGAGAGAACCCCUGUAAGUGUCAACCUCGAGCAGAUUCCAGUAUUAGAUUGCAAAGAUGGCCUUUGCUGCAUCUGCUUGAGCAAGGAAAGCCAAGAAACCUUUGCUUUGGCAGGAGAAAAUCUGGAAAGGGGAAAGAAAGAAGAGAAGCCCCCUGACUUCUCCCUGAGCCCCAGACAGCCCAUGAACUCCCUUGCUGGGAAUGGUGGGACGGGCUGGACUCUGGAUUGCUCCCUCUGGAUGUGUGGCUCUCCCCUCAGGAACUGCAGGAACUCCUGGUGCCGCCUGGGCCGAUGGAUUGGACGCCCCAGCCCCUCCGUUCCUGCCCAGCCACUGGGGCCGUGUCCAGUGGUGGCACUGCCAGCCCUGCAGUGGGAUGGAGCCUGGAAACUGCACAGAGCUGAGCCAAGGGAUUGAGAGGGACCAAGCAAGGGAGGUGAAGAAAGAAGGAAGAAGGGAAGUGAGGCAGUAGCCAAGCAGCACCAAGUUGCUGUGUAAGCAGGUGAGUUGUGUUGAGGUUCCUAAGGCAGGCCCUGAGGACUUUGAGGGCUCCAGACAGAGAAGACCUUGGAAGGCCCUCGGUGAAGCCCCUUGGAAACCUUGUAAGGGUAGGUGUGUAUGGUAAUGAGUGUUGGAAAAUGUCCUGAGUAGGGAUUAGGAAUGCAGGGAAGGAAAAUGAACCCUCCUGUAAUGCUGCCAUAUCAGCUGCAGUGGAGAUAGCUCUGUGUGCCCUUUGGGAGCUGAUUGCCAGGACUCCUGGCGGGCUGGAAUGAUUCAAGAGCGUAGGAAUAAAAGAUUGCCUGGCUUCUAAAACUCAUCAAUUGAGUCUCAGAGGUUCUUGUAUGAAAUUUUAGGUAACACCUGAACUUUUGUGUGUACUUCUGAGUUCAGCUGGAAAGAGAUUGUCCAGGGAAGAGGAAUCUUGCUCAGUGCAAGAAGUUACAGUUGAUGAACUUCCCAUCUGAUCUGAUGCCCUUGGCAGGAGAAGUGCUCAGCAAGGAGGCUCUUUGCUCCUAGGCAGGAAGAAAGGCCAGUGCCCUUCCUCCCCAAGGCCCAGCCCAGCAGGGCUGGCAGGAGCUGCUGGUGUGGCUGCUCUUUGGGUUCUCAGCUGUGGCUGUGGGGUGGUGACAUCGUGUUCCUGCCUGUGCUCCAGGGCAGCCAAAAGCCCCAGCACAGCCCCUGGGCCUUUCUGGGAGCCUGAGCUAUUGCAGUACUGGGGAUGGGGGUUUGGGUUUUUGUUUCCCUAAAAGUAGAACCAUUGGGGGUAUCUCUUAUCUCACAGUUGUUGUUUUGAUAUCUUAAUUAAUUACAACUUGAGAAGAAAAGCUUGUGUAACUUAGCAACUGACUUGCACUGGUUACACUGAAAGUGCCAAGGAGUUGUAGUGUCCACUGGAUUGUUUGUAUUGAAGCAGUUUGGUGUUUACAGAGGGAUAAUAACUCCUGUCAGCAGCAAGGUCCUGACUGAAGUGGCAGCUGCAGUUGUUCCUGUGGUGUGGGUCAGUGGACUUCCAAGAAAAUGGACAAGGACAGAAGCUGCAGAAGAGCCCAGGCCUGAGCUGGCUGAGUGUUGGUGUGACCCACAGUGGGUGUCCCUGCCCUCGGGACAGUCCCCAGAGCUGCCUUUGGCAUCCCCUGCUGAAGGGUGGGAGCUGCCCAGAGCCAGCAGCAUCCAGCUGGAGGAUCCAGGAGGAUGCAGCUCCUGUUGUCUGGGAGGAGAAAAUCUGGAGAGGGGGAAGGAAGAAAAGAAGCCCCGUGAGUCCUCCCUGAGCCCCAGACAGCCCCUGAACUGCCUUCCUGGGAAUGGUGGGACGGGCUGGACUCUGGAUUGCUCCCUCUGGAUGUGUGGCUCUCCCCUGCAGGAACUCCAGGAACUCCUGGUGCCGCCUGGGCCGAUGGAUUGGACGCCCCAGCCCCUCCGUUCCUGCCCAGCCACUGGGGCCGUGUCGAGUGGUGGCACUGCCAGCCCUGCAGUGGGAUGUAGCCUCGAAACUCCCCAGGGCUGAGCCAAGGGAUUUAAAGGUACUAAGCAAGGGAGGUGAAGAAAGAAGGAAGAAGGGAACUGAGGCAUCAGCCAAGCAGCAGCAAGUUCCUGUGUAAGCAGGUAGUGCCCUGAAUUAGUUGAUUUCUGCCUUGCUCCCUGGUAUCUGAGUCUUGAGAUGUACCAAGAACUGGUAGUUUUUGCAGUGGGAUGUACCCUAGAAACUGCAUGGAGCUGAGCCAAGGGAUUAAAGGGACUAAGCAAGGGAGGUGAAGAAACAAAGAAGAAGGGAACUGAAACAGCAGCCAAGCAGCACCAAGUUCCUCUAAAACCAGUGGGAUGUUCCCUAGAAACUGCAUGGAGCUGAGCCAAGGGAUUAAAGGGACUGAGCAAGCAAAGUAAAGAAAAAAUGAAGAAGGGAACUGAGGCAGCAGCCAAGCAGCACCAAGCUCCUCUACAACCAGGAGAAAAUGGGGCAAGCGGGAAGGAAGAAGAGAAGCCCCGUGACUCCUCCCUGAGCCCCAGCCAGCCCCUGAACUGCCUUCCUGGGAAUGGUGGGACGGGCUGGACUCUGGAUUGCUCCCUCUGGAUGUGUGGCUCUCCCCUCAGGAACUGCAGGAACUCCUGGUGCCGCCUGGGCCGAUGGAUUGGACGCCCCAGCCCCUCCGUUCCUGCCCAGCCACUGGGGCCGUGUCGAGUGGUGGCACUGCCAGCCCUGCAGGGGAAGUGGGAAGGGCCUUUCCAGGUCUGGUGGAUCACAUUUAUAGCAGGUAAAGUUGCAGGAAAAAGGACCUGGGGUAUGUUCUCCUUGAGUUAAGAAAGCUGCUUUUGAUUGGUGAGCAGAACAAAGUGGAUCCUUCAGAGUUCCCAUCUGUGUUUGUGUCUCAGCCUGUGUUAGGAUUCAGGGCUGUCAGUUGUUGUCACUGAGGAGUCAAACUGUACUUUAAAUAAGGAGACACUGGCCUGACGGCCAAGUCUCAAGAAAAAAGGUGGUAUGCUGUCUGAG